CCCUUAGAUGUUCUGGGCCGCACGCGUGCUACACUGAGUGGAUCAGCGGGUCAGGUUGCGCGAAAGCGUUUCCUAAUCUUUAAAUCCGCUCGUGAUGGGGAUUGACGGUUGCAAUUUUCUGUCAUGAACGAGGAAUACCUUGUAAGCGCGGGUCAUCAUCCCGCGCUGAAUACGUCCCUGCCCUUUGUACACACCGCCCGUCGCUCCUACCGAUUGAGUGGUCCGGUGAGGCUUUGGGAUUUGGUCUUUGAUACUUUAUUGUGUCGUUGACCGAAAAACUUGAGCAAACCUUAACGUUUAGAGGAAGGUGAAGUCGUAACA
rnacentral:rRNA from 1 species